UCCUUUAGUAGCGGCGAGCGAACAGGAAAUAGCCCAGCACUGAAUCCCGCCGUUGUAACGGCGGCGGGAGAUGUGGUGUUCGGGAGGUUCCGCUUUCUUGUCGUCGUCCACUCCUGUCCAAGUUCGUCUUGAACGGGGCCCAUUUCCCAUAGAGGGUGCCAGGCCCGUAGCGACGGAGGACGGCGGCGAGAGGAACUCUCCUCAGAGUCGGGUUGCUUGAGAGUGCAGCCCUAAGUGGGUGGUAAACUCCAUCUAAGGCUAAAUAUUACCGCGAGACCGAU
rnacentral:rRNA from 1 species